ACAGCAGUCGCCGCGGUAAUACGUAGGUCCCGAGCGUUGUCCGGAUUUAUUGGGCGUAAAGCGAGCGCAGGCGGUUAGAUAAGUCUGAAGUUAAAGGCUGUGGCUUAACCAUAGUACGCUUUGGAAACUGUUUAACUUGAGUGCAAGAGGGGAGAGUGGAAUUCCAUGUGUAGCGGUGAAAUGCGUAGAUAUACGGAGGAACACCGGUGGCAAAAGCGGCUCUCUGGCUUGUAACUGACGCUGAGGCUCGAAAGCGUGGGGAGCAAACAGGAUUAGAUACCCCCGUAGUCCCUGUCUCUUAUACA
rnacentral:rRNA from 1 species